GACGAACGCUGGCGGCGUGCUUAACACAUGCAAGUCGAACGGAAAGGCCCUGCUCUUGUGGGGUGCUCGAGUGGCGAACGGGUGAGUAGCACGUGAGUAACCUGCCCUUGACUUUGGGAUAACUUCAGGAAACUGGGGCUAAUACCGGAUAGGAGCUCCUGCUGCAUGGUGGGGGUUGGAAAGUUUCGGCGGUUGGGGAUGGACUCGCGGCUUAUCAGCUUGUUGGUGGGGUAGUGGCUUACCAAGGCUUUGACGGGUAGCCGGCCUGAGAGGGUGACCGGCCACAUUGGGACUGAGAUACGGCCCAGACUCCUACGGGAGGCAGCAGUGGGGAAUAUUGCACAAUGGGCGGAAGCCUGAUGCAGCAACGCCGCGUGCGGGAUGACGGCCUUCGGGUUGUAAACCGCUUUCGCCUGUGACGAAGCGUGAGUGACGGUAAUGGGUAAAGAAGCACCGGCUAACUACGUG
rnacentral:rRNA from 1 species